rnacentral:rRNA from 1 species
CCUACGGGAGGCAGCAGUAGGGAAUCUUCCACAAUGGGCGAAAGCCUGAUGGAGCAACGCCGCGUGGGUGAAGAAGGUCUUCGGAUCGUAAAACUCUGUUGUUAGAGAAGAAAGUGCGUGAGAGUAACUGUUCACGUUUCGACGGUAUCUAACCAGAAAGCCACGGCUAACUACGUGCCAGCAGCCGCGGUAAUACGUAGGUGGCAAGCGUUAUCCGGAUUUAUUGGGCGUAACGGGAACGCAGGCGGUCUUUUAAGUCUGAUGUGAAAGCCUUCGGCUUAACCGGAGUAGUGCAUUGGAAACUGGGAGACUUGAGUGCAGAAGAGGAGAGUGGAACUCCAUGUGGAGCGGUGAAAUGCGUAGAUAUAUGGAAGAACACCAGUGGCGAAAGCGGCUCUCUGGUCUGUAACUGACGCUGAGGUUCGAAAGCGUGGGUAGCAAACAGGAUUAGAUACCCGUGUAGUC